GAAGAGGAAUACCCCGUGAACCUUAAGCAUUUUAAUAAGCCGGGGGAUUUUUCAUGCUGAUCCUUCCGUUCCU
rnacentral:rRNA from 1 species